GUCUGCUACACGUAAUAUAAGAAGGGUCGCUGUCGUUCCAAGCGUUCUAAGAGAGAUUUCGGUGAUAUCUACCAUCUUUUCUGGAUUGUUCCAGGCGUUAACUCGUUUGGCAUAAAGCAGAUCGUUUGUAAAAUGCGAUUUUCUUAUGUUGUUGUGUGCUUGACAAUAAGUCUUGUAACAGCUAUUCCAAAACCAAACAAGACUUCAAGAGUUAAAGAUGAGCCGCUGAGUAGUCACAAACAUUAUGAAAAUGAAGAGCAUAAUGCUGACUAUGACCAUGAAGCUUUUCUAGGAGAUGAGGCUAAAACCUUUGAUCAACUGUCUCCCGAAGAAAGCAAGGAGCGUUUAGGGAAAAUUGUGGACAAAAUAGACCGUGACAUGGAUGGCAAGAUCACCAAAGAGGAGCUGAAAUCAUGGAUUCAGUAUACUCAAAGACGUUACAUAUUGGAGGAUGUUGACCGUCAGUGGAAAGCACACAAUCCUAAUAACAAGGACUCUAUCACAUGGGAAGAAUACAAAAAGAUGGUCUAUGGUUUCAUGGAUGAUAUGGAACCCUCAGAGCUGGAGAAUAAUGCUGAAGAAGGAUUUUCAUACAAGGACAUGAUUCGACGAGACCAACGUCGCUGGGGAAUUGCUGAUACUAACGCAGAUCACGCCCUUGACAAGGAAGAGUUCACAAACUUUUUACAUCCAGAAGAUGCCCCGCAUAUGAAGGAGAUUGUUGUUGUCGAAACGAUGGAGGACAUCGACAAGGAUAAAAACGGGUACAUCUCAUUGGAAGAAUACAUCGGUGACAUGUACCGAGGAAUCAAAGAUGAAGAUGAGCCUGAUUGGGUCAGGAACGAACGUGAGCAGUUUCAAAAUUAUCGCGACAAAAACAAAGACGGCCAUAUGGACACUGAUGAGGUUAAACAGUGGAUAAUCCCACCUGAUUUUGAUCACUCUGAAGCCGAAGCGAAACAUCUACUUCAAGAAUCGGACGCUGACGGCGACGGUCAGCUGACAAAAGACGAGAUCAUUAGCAAAUACGAUCUCUUCGUCGGUUCUCAGGCCACCGAUUUCGGUGAGGCGCUCAACCGACACGACGAAUUUUAGACAACACAAAAUCAAAUUCCUCAUGUUAUAGCAAUGUGAAAUGAACAUUCGCCUACGUCUGUGACCAAAGGCAGCAAUUUCGCUGAUUAUGCUAAUCAGUGUCAAAGUGUGCCAAAUUCUUAUCGCGCACCACAAAAAGUGCCUCAUUUUACUUGAUUACUAAACGUCGACGUAACUCGUGCAUAUUAUCUUCCUACUUCAUAAUAUUUCAUGUGUCUUUAUUUUCAUUUCAUAAUGAAUUUUCGAUUCGUUUACUUAAAAUCUCAGCUUCAAAAUUUAGAAUGUGACGUGAAAAAGUGCCGAUAAGUUUGUAAUGUUGUCAUCAGUAGUCAAUAAAAGGCCACUGGGUAUUCACCUUU
rnacentral:misc_RNA from 1 species